rnacentral:rRNA from 1 species
GACGAACGCUGGCGGCGUGCUUAACACAUGCAAGUCGAACGAUGAAGCCCAGCUUGCCGGGUGGAUUAGUGGCGAACGGGUGAGUAACACGUGAGUAACCUGCCCUGGACUCUGGGAUAACCCCGAGAAAUCGGAGCUAAUACCGGAUAGGACCUUUCCCCGCAUGGGGUUUGGUGGAAAGUUUUUCGGUUUGGGAUGGACUCGCGGCCUAUCAGCUUGUUGGUGAGGUAGUGGCUCACCAAGGCUUCGACGGGUAGCCGGCCUGAGAGGGUGACCGGCCACACUGGGACUGAGACACGGCCCAGACUCCUACGGGAGGCAGCAGUGGGGAAUAUUGGACAAUGGGCGAAAGCCUGAUCCAGCAACGCCGCGUGAGGGAUGACGGCCUUCAGGUUGUAAACCUCUUUCACCUCUGACGAAGCGCAAGUGACGGUAAGGGGAGAAGAAGGACCGGCCAACUACGUGCCAGCAGCCGCAGUAACAC